rnacentral:rRNA from 1 species
AUUGAACGCUGGCGGCAUGCCUUACACAUGCAAGUCGAGCGGCAGCACGGGUGCUUGCACCUGGUGGCGAGUGGCGAACGGGUGAGUAAUACAUCGGAACGUACCUUAUCGUGGGGGAUAACGCAGCGAAAGCUGUGCUAAUACCGCAUGCGCCCUGAGGGGGAAAGCGGGGGAUCGCAAGACCUCGCGCGAUUAGAGCGGCCGAUGCCUGAUUAGCUUGUUGGUGGGGUAAAAGCCCACCAAGGCGACGAUCAGUAGCUGGUCUGAGAGGACGAUCAGCCACACUGGGACUGAGACACGGCCCAGACUCCUACGGGAGGCAGCAGUGGGGAAUUUUGGACAAUGGGGGCAACCCUGAUCCAGCAAUGCCGCGUGAGUGAAGAAGGCCUUCGGGUUGUAAAGCUCUUUUGUCAGGGAAGAAACACCGGCUCUAACACAGUCCGGGAAUGACGGUACCUGAAGAAUAAGCACCGGCUAACUACGUGCCAGCCGCCGCCGUAA